CCUACGGGGGGCAGCAGUGGGGAAUAUUGGGCAAUGGAGGAAACUCUGAACCAGCAACGCCGCGUGAAUGAUGAAGGUCUUCGGAUUGUAAAGUUCUUUUCUAAGGGAAGAAGAAAGUGACGGUACAUUAGUAAUAAGCCUCGGCUAACUACGUGCCAGCAGCGGCGGUAAUACGUAGGAGGCGAGUGUUAUCCGGAAUGAGUGGGCGUAAAGGGUGCGUAGGUGGUUUGGCAAGUUAGUAGCGUAACUCCAAGGCUCAACCAUAGAACUACUACUAAAACUGUUGGACUUGAGUGUAGGAGAGGCAACUGGAAUUCGUAGUGUAGCGGUGGAAUGCGUAGAUAUUAGGAGGAACACCAGUUGCGAAGGCGAGUUGCUAGACUAUCACUGACACUGAGGCACGAAAGCGUGGGGAGCAAACAGGAUUAGAUACCCGAGUAGUC
rnacentral:rRNA from 1 species